rnacentral:rRNA from 1 species
GGGUUGUGAGGUUAAGCGACUAAGCGUACACGGUGGAUGCCCUGGCAGUCAGAGGCGAUGAAGGACGUGCUAAUCUGCGAUAAGCGUCGGUAAGGUGAUAUGAACCGUUAUAACCGGCGAUUUCCGAAUGGGGAAACCCAGUGUGAUUCGUCACACUAUCAUUAACUGAAUCCAUAGGUUAAUGAGGCGAACCGGGGGAACUGAAACAUCUAAGUACCCCGAGGAAAAGAAAUCAACCGAGAUUCCCCCAGUAGCGGCGAGCGAACGGGGAGCAGCCCAGAGCCUGAAUCAGUGUGUGUGUUAGUGGAAGCGUCUGGAAAGGCGUGCGAUACAGGGUGACAGCCCCGUACACAAAAAUGCACAUGCUGUGAGCUCGAUGAGUAGGGCGGGACACGUGGUAUCCUGUCUGAAUAUGGGGGGACCAUCCUCCAAGGCUAAAUACUCCUGACUGACCGAUAGUGAACCAGUACCGUGAGGGAAAGGCGAAAAGAACCCCGGCGAGGGGAGUGAAAAAGAACCUGAAACCGUGUACGUACAAGCAGUGGGAGCACGCUUAGGCGUGUGACUGCGUACCUUUUGUAUAAUGGGUCAGCGACUUAUAUUCUGUAGCAAGGUUAACCGAAUAGGGGAGCCGAAGGGAAACC